rnacentral:tRNA from 1 species
GGGUCCAUAGCUCAGUGGUAGAGCAUUUGACUGCAGAUCAAGGAAUCACCGGUUCGAACCCGGUUUGGGCCCU